AAAAAGGCGCCGGCACCGGACCUGAGGGGGGAGGAGCGGCAGGAGCAAGAAGCGGCAGGCGCCCGCUCGCCAGGACCCCGGCACAUAGUGCAGAAGAACUGUGGGAUGUGGAGAGAUCACAUGGUCUUGGAAAUAUGGAAUGAUGUGAAUAAGAGAACAACUUUCAGUGUUAUCAUACCCAUACUCCUUUGAUUGGUGGAAAACAAAGCUAGAAGACUACGGCACAAGGAGUAUAUCAUAACUGAGAUAAGGUGACCCAGUUUAUACAACCAUGAAGACCCCAAGUUACCCAAAUAAAGGAAAAAUGUGAAGAAAUUGGAGAAGUCCCAGAGAA